CAAGAUUCUGCAGGGGAUCCCAGUAUCAACUGAGAAACAAAAGUUCAUGGCGCAAACAAGAACUGCCACAAAAGCAACUCCAAACAACCCCGGGGAACAACCCACUGCAGGAGAAUCAUCCAAGUAGAAUCUAACUGCACAAGCAACUCUACUGGGGAAAGCUGUCAGCUAUCCUUCCAGAAAACAAACCACUGAAGGAGAAAGCAC
rnacentral:lncRNA from 1 species